rnacentral:rRNA from 1 species
ACGGGAGACACACGGCGGGUGCUAACGUCCGUCGUGAAGAGGGAAACAACCCAGACCGCCAGCUAAGGUCCCAAAGUCAUGGUUAAGUGGGAAACGAUGUGGGAAGGCCCAGACAGCCAGGAUGUUGGCUUAGAAGCAGCCAUCAUUUAAAGAAAGCGUAAUAGCUCACUGGUCGAGUCGGCCUGCGCGGAAGAUGUAACGGGGCUAAACCAUGCACCGAAGCUGCGGCAGCGACGCUUAUGCGUUGUUGGGUAGGGGAGCGUUCUGUAAGCCUGUGAAGGUGUGCUGUGAGGUAUGCUGGAGGUAUCAGAAGUGCGAAUGCUGACAUAAGUAACGAUAAAGCGGGUGAAAAGCCCGCUCGCCGGAAGACCAAGGGUUCCUGUCCAACGUUAAUCGGGGCAGGGUGAGUCGACCCCUAAGGCGAGGCCGAAAGGCGUAGUCGAUGGGAAACAGGUUAAUAUUCCUGUACUUGGUGUUACUGCGAAGGGGGGACGGAGAAGGCUAUGUUGGCCGGGCGACGGUUGUCCCGGUUUAAGCGUGUAGGCUGGUUUUCCAGGCAAAUCCGGAAAAUCAAGGCCGAGGCGUGAUGACGAGGCACUACGGUGCUGAAGCAACAAAUGCCCUGCUUCCAGGAAAAGCCUCUAAGCAUCAGGUAACAUCAAAUCGUACCCCAAACCGACACAGGUGGUCAGGUAGAGAAUACCAAGGCGCUUGAGAGAACUCGGGUGAAGGAACUAGGCAAAAUGGUGCCGUAACUUCGGGAGAAGGCACGCUGAUACGUAGGUGAAGCGACUUGCUCGUGGAGCUGAAAUCAGUCGAAGAUACCAGCUGGCUGCAACUGUUUAUUAAAAACACAGCACUGUGCAAACACGAAAGUGGACGUAUACGGUGUGACGCCUGCCCGGUGCCGGAAGGUUAAUUGAUGGGGUUAGCGCAAGCGAAGCUCUUGAUCGAAGCCCCGGUAAACGGCGGCCGUAACUAUAACGGUCCUAAGGUAGCGAAAUUCCUUGUCGGGUAAGUUCCGACCUGCACGAAUGGCGUAAUGAUGGCCAGGCUGUCUCCACCCGAGACUCAGUGAAAUUGAACUCGCUGUGAAGAUGCAGUGUACCCGCGGCAAGACGGAAAGACCCCGUGAACCUUUACUAUAGCUUGACACUGAACAUUGAGCCUUGAUGUGUAGGAUAGGUGGGAGGCUUUGAAGUGUGGACGCCAGUCUGCAUGGAGCCGACCUUGAAAUACCACCCUUUAAUGUUUGAUGUUCUAACGUGGACCCGUGAUCCGGGUUGCGGACAGUGUCUGGUGGGUAGUUUGACUGGGGCGGUCUCCUCCUAAAGAGUAACGGAGGAGCACGAAGGUUGGCUAAUCCUGGUCGGACAUCAGGAGGUUAGUGCAAUGGCAUAAGCCAGCUUGACUGCGAGCGUGACGGCGCGAGCAGGUGCGAAAGCAGGUCAUAGUGAUCCGGUGGUUCUGAAUGGAAGGGCCAUCGCUCAACGGAUAAAAGGUACUCCGGGGAUAACAGGCUGAUACCGCCCAAGAGUUCAUAUCGACGGCGGUGUUUGGCACCUCGAUGUCGGCUCAUCACAUCCUGGGGCUGAAGUAGGUCCCAAGGGUAUGGCUGUUCGCCAUUUAAAGUGGUACGCGAGCUGGGUUUAGAACGUCGUGAGACAGUUCGGUCCCUAUCUGCCGUGGGCGCUGGAGAACUGAGGGGGGCUGCUCCUAGUACGAGAGGACCGGAGUGGACGCAUCACUGGUGUUCGGGUUGUCAUGCCAAUGGCACUGCCCGGUAGCUAAAUGCGGAAGAGAUAAGUGCUGAAAGCAUCUAAGCACGAAACUUGCCCCGAGAUGAGUUCUCCCUGACCCUUUAAGGGUCCUGAAGGAACGUUGAAGACGACGACGUUGAUAGGCCGGGUGUGUAAGCGCAGCGAUGCGUUGAGCUAACCGGUACUAAUGAACCGUGAGGCUUAACCUUACAACGCCGAAG